GAAAAUUCUUUUUCAUAGCAGAGAACACGAUACGGAAAUAACUUGGAAUAUUAUUUUCUCGAAUGAGUUUAUUUUUUAUAGUUUUCUUUUAAUCAAUAUGGGAAUCGCAAAUACAAAGUGUUUAUUUUUUAUUACAUUUGGCUUCCUUUGAGUUUAAUAUGUAUAAGAAUAACUAUGUAAUUGGUAUAAAUUUCACUCGAAGUGSUUUAGACGAGGUCAAAGUGAGAUCUGCCGAAAACGUAACGUCAUCUAGCUCAUCAACCGGUUCCAGCUCAAAAUUGUACAAUAUAAAAGCUACGAAGACUUUAAGCUCGAGCAUUGCCAACU